rnacentral:rRNA from 1 species
GACGAACGCUGGCGGCGUGCUUAAUACAUGCAAGUCGAACGAGGUUACAAGUUGGGUAACUAAUUUGUAGCUUAGUGGCGGACGGGUGAGUAACGCGUGGGCAAUCUGCCCUCUAGCCUGGGAUAACAGUUCGAAAGGACUGCUAACACCGGAUAUGAUGGUGUCACGGCAUCGUGAAGCCAUGAAAGUUUACACUAGAGGAUGAGCCCGCGUCCCAUUAGCUAGUUGGUGAGGUAACGGCCCACCAAGGCGACGAUGGGUAGCCGACCUGAGAGGGUGAACGGCCACACUGGGACUGAGACACGGCCCAGACUCCUACGGGAGGCAGCAGUAGGGAAUUUUCCGCAAUGGGCGAAAGCCUGACGGAGCAACGCCGCGUGAGGGAUGAAGGUCUUCGGAUCGUAAACCUUUGUCUAGAGGGACGAUAAUGACGGUACCUCUGGAGGAAGCCACGGCUAACUACGUGCCAGCAGCCGCGGUAAUACGUAGGUGGCGAGCGU